rnacentral:rRNA from 1 species
UUGUAAUUAUUUAUUUGAAUUUUAUUUGUUAAACAUUUUAAUUUUAAAACUAUUGGCGGUAAUUAAUUAAAUUCUGAGGAACUUGUUUAUUUAAUUUGAUAUUACUCAAUAAAUUUUAUCUAAAGUUAAUUUUAUGUAUUGCUGUUUAUUUAUUUAUUAUUUACAAUUUAAUAAAUUAAAUUAAUUUUAAUUUAAAAUUUAAGAAAAUCAAGUCAAAAUGUAGAUUUCUUUAGGUGUAAAUGAGUUACUUUUAUCUUGAACGAUGAGGCUGUAAAGGAAAAUGAAAUAUUUUUUUUGAAAUAAGGUUGGAUUAGGGUGUAAAAAUAAAUUAAUAAGUUUUUUUGAUAUAUUUAUUAUUAUGUCCAUAUCGCCCGUCGCUUAAAAAUUUAAAUUUUUAAUAAAUUUUUA